rnacentral:rRNA from 1 species
AUGAGCUCCGUCCUCGUGUUCGCCAUGUGGGCGCUCGUCGCCGCCGUGCCCUGCCAGGACAGGGCCUCCGCGGCCGCCCCCGUCGCGCCGGCCAAGCAGGCGCAGUGGGCGGCGCCCAUGACGGCCAUCCAGGAGCGGAUCGUGGAGGAGUCGAGGCGGAGGGACAAGAAGGGGUCGUCCUCCGGGGCGUCCUCGCCGGCGUCCGCGGGGCUCCUCGCCGAGAUGCAGGCCGUGGAGCGCGCCGCGCGGGAGCUCAACAGCCUGCUCGAGGAGAUCGCCGAGGAGGAGGACGAGGCCGCGGAGGUGGAGGCCCCGGCGUCCAUCAGCGAGGAGCGCGCCGGAGACGUCGUGGAGCGCGCAGAGGCGCUGGCCGGCGCGUGCCGGGCGCUGGAGGACGGCCUCGCGCCGCUGGAGCGGCAGGUGCGCGCCGUGUUCCACCGCGUCGUGGCCAGCCGCGCCGAGGUCGUGCGGUGCAUGGAGCACAGCGCGCGCAGCACCGCCGGGUCCGCCUCCGGCCCGCCGGCGCAGCAGCCCCAUUCCUUCUGA